CUUGUUUGGAUAAUUUUAGGUUUUUAUCACCGGAAUUUUAGGAUACAUUGGAGCAAGAGAUGAUUCAAAACCAGAUAAGUGUUUGAUUGGAUGUUUUAUGGGUGCCUCUAUUACAGGUUGCAUCUUGUCAGGAGGGAUGUUCAUCUGCUAUUGUAUUACUCUUGUAUUCUACGCUGCAAUGAAGGAAGCCUCUAGGGAUUUUUUAUAGAAACGGAGGUUAUAAUGGUUUCACUUCCUACACCAACUGUUAUGAGGAGUAUGGCUUUCACAGAGAUACCCAUGCAAAUGUGGCUGGUUUAGGCUCCUGUCUGCUUUUUUUCUCCUUUAUUGAGUUCUUCGUGGCCCUGGCGUCAUCUAUCUGUUGUUGUACCUCACCAGGAGUUGUGAGUAGUUCAAGGACCAACCAGCAAGUGACAUAUGGCCAACCUCAAUACCUGUACCCAGGGGCACAGCUUGGUUUGGUUUUAAUGCAGACUGGUGCUGGUGUGGUGCCACAUGGAUACCCAGCAACAGGCCAGCCACCUGUGUAUAUCAUGCAGCAGCCUGGUGCAGUUGCACAGCUUGGAGUAGCCUUUUAGCAACCCACUUACUGGGCAGUUCCCUCAGGAUCCAACCUAGCUGGAGCAGUGACUGUGCCUCAUUCAGCUACUG